AUUGAACGCUGGCGGCAUGCCUUACACAUGCAAGUCGAACGGCAGCAUGGAGAGCUUGCUCUCUGAUGGCGAGUGGCGAACGGGUGAGUAAUGCAUCGGAACGUACCGUGUAAUGGGGGAUAACGUAGCGAAAGUUACGCUAAUACCGCAUACGACCUGAGGGUGAAAGCAGGGGAUCGCAAGACCUUGCGUUAUACGAGCGGCCGAUGUCAGAUUAGCUAGUUGGUGAGGUAAAGGCUCACCAAGGCGACGAUCUGUAGCGGGUCUGAGAGGAUGAUCCGCCACACGGGGACUGAGGCACGGCCCAGACUCCUACGGGAGGCAGCAGUGGGGAAGUUUGGACAACGGGGGCAACCCUGAUCCAGCCAUGCCGCGUGAGUGAAGAAGGCCUUCGGGUUGUAAAGCUCUUUCGGCCGGGAAGAAAUCGCACAGGCUAAUACUCUGUGUGGAUGACGGUACCGGCAUAAGAAGCACCGGCUAACUACGUGCCAGCCGCCGCCGUAA
rnacentral:rRNA from 1 species